ensembl:lncRNA PAXBP1-AS1 PAXBP1 antisense RNA 1
GGGAGACCACGCCCACUCUGCGCCGACCGGCUGGGCCUGGCACCCGCGGGCGGCCCCAGCCUCAGUCUCCAGCUACCUUUGCCUCCUGCGGCCGCCCCCAGGCAGAGCUGCGAUCCCACCGCCGGGGGUGCAGGGAGAGGGAAGAUCUGGCCUCCUUGGUCCUUUUGCGUGGGCUCUUCAGAGCGUGAGCGCCGGGGAGGGACUCCGGAGAAAAGCUUGGGGGGCUGCGUAUUGCUGCUCCCCAAGCUGGGCGUCAGGACCAACCCCGCCGCCCCCACGGGCCUGACGGGAGAGGAGGAAGGGCUCGGGACGGUCGGCUCGCCGAGCCAACCAGGUGGCGCCUGAAGAGCUGUCCAUGGUGUCGACAGCCCAGCAAACGGCACCGAGUUCCUAGUCUGAGUGUCUGGAUAGGUAGCAGAAGAAAAACUAAUGCCUGCUCUGGGACAGUUCUGUUCGGUGCCUUUUCUUGUGUGUUCUGGAGCUCACAGGGUUCUAUCGAAGAGUGCUUAGGUGUAUACGAUGGAGAGUGGGACGUCACAAACCAGGAUCUCAAGGCUGAGUCCAACAAAACAUGGCCGUAGGGAGGCCACGACAGCUGUGGUUGUCACCGACGGAUGAAUAGCUUUUGCCAACCGUGGAAUUUAGUAACUAAAGGCACCUAACCCUUUUAUCUCAUCCUCAUUUUUCAACAAAUGGUGCUUCCUGGCUAAUAUCAGCGUGUCCCAUAGAUUUCUGCUUCCAUUGAAUAGACCUAAUAAGAAAGAGAAUGAAGUCAAAGCCAACAGGGCAGAAAGAAAUUGAAAACCUGAAGAACCCAGCACUCAAACUGUCUCCACUUGCGUUUGCUUUUUCUUUACCUCUUCUCCUUCUGGUUUUCAACAGCCAAAGCAGGAUUUAAAUUUGGUUAUGUUGCAAAAAUCAUUUCCCUCUUCAGGCCCUGUCAUGUGACUUGAUUUUUUCGUCCAUUUUAGAGAAGCUGUACCCACCCUGGUUUCAGGACACGGAACUAAAUUUAUUAGAAAAGAAGCCACUUCAAGUCAUGAAGGAGAAACACAAAGAUUCUUGGAUUUAGUUCUAAGAACUAGAGGGGAUUUCUAUGUCAGUACUGUCUCAGAAAAAACUGUUGAUAUCAAAUGUGUUGCUUGAGAAGUACCUUUUUUUUUUUGAGACGGAGUCUCGCUCUGUCCGCCCAGGCUAGAGUGCAGUGGCGCGAUCUCGGCUCACUGCAAGCUCCGCCUCCCGGGUUCACGCCGUUCUCCUGCCUCAGCCUCCCGAGUAGCUGGGAUUACAGGUGCCCACCACCACGCCCGGCUAAUUUUUGUAUUUUUAGUAGAGACAGGGUUUCACCGUGUUAGCCAGGAUGGUCUCGAUCUCCUGACCUCGUGAUCCACCCGCCUCGGCCUCCCAAAGUGCUGGGAUAACAGGCGUGAGCCAUCGCGCCCGGCCGAGAGGUACCUUUUAUGACAACUGAAAUCAUUCAGUUUCAAGAGGAGUUGGGUACUGAAACCAAACUUGCUUACUCCAAAGCCCAAAAUCCUUUCCACCAUGCCUGUGUGUCUGUAAGGCUACACUAGAAAUGCUUCCUUUCUUAUAGUGGGAAGCAUGGGUACUAAGCUCUUUUACGAACAAGUGUUCUGCAUAUUCCUGGUUCCUUUUUAUUUUGGACUGAGGAGAUUUAGGUCAAAAUUUCUGGGUUCUGGGUUGGAAUUCCAGCUUCUUUCUUCAAAUUAAACUGGGGGGUAGCAAGACUUAUUCCUAGAUUUGUUAGAAGGCCACAGCUUUUCCACAUCUCAUUUUAGUCAUGAAAAAGACACAUGCCCAGAGUUUGAAAAACAUAAAGGCAAUUUGACUAGUGGCUUGAUUGGUUCUAUCUUCUUUUUCUUGUCCCUCUUUCCUAUUUAUACUUCUACUUUUGUUACAGCAUUUGACAAUAGUUGGAAAAAUUUUCACUGACCUUGAAAUGUCUUUGGGAUAGGGUGACUUAAAAUAUAGGUUAAGUGGCAUACACAAACUUCUUAGUGAGAUCCUAAGGGCCUACAGAGACAGGCUGACACCAACUCAACCCUUGAAACUGUGCAAUGAAGAGCCUGUGGGAGGCUAAAAAACGCUACUUCAAAAAGAGAUCCUUGUCUGUGAAUGUUAAUUUAGGUUUACAGAUUUGAUUAAGGGUCUUGAGAUUAUUUUCAAUUAUCCAGGUGGGCCCUAGAGCCCUAGAUGCAAUCAUAAGUGUCCUUAUAACAGGGAGGCAGAGGAAAAUUAAACACGCACACAGGAGAGAGAGAGAGAGAAAAAAAAGUGAUGUGAAGACAGCAGCAGAGAUUGGAGCGAUGUGGCCAUAGCCAAGCUAUGUCAGCAGCCAUCAGAAGUUGGAAGAGGCAAGGAAGGAUUUGAGCCUAGAGCCUUUGGAAGGAGCAUGGCCCUGUUGGUUCUGGCCUCCAGAACUGCAAGAAAAUACAUUUUUGUUGUUUUAAACCACCCAGUUCAUGGUAAUUUGUAACACCAGCUACAAGAAAUUAACACAAGGCUGAUGUGACUUUCCAUCAGGAGAGAGACAGCCCCAGCCACCCUGUGAAGACGUGCCUUUCGUCAAGAUUGUAAGUUUCCUGAGGCCUUCCCACCCAUGCGGAACUGAAAAAAUCUUCCUGUGACUUCCUACAACUUUUGGGAUAAGGACCAAAGUAUUUCAAAUGACCUACAAGAUCCUCUAUCAUCUGGACUAUGGACUUACUUGCUCACUCCAGCUGUCCUAUGCUUUCUUCAGCGCCUCCAGUGUAGCCUGCUCUCUUUCACCUCAGGGCUAACUUCUAUUUUUUCUCCAGGUCGAAUGAUCUAAAUAUCACUUCCUCAGGGUGGAAGGAAAUCUUCUGGGACUAGCUAGUCAAGGUCUCUGUGCCCCUUGUCAUAUGUUCCACAUUACCUUGAAUGUCCCCUUUCAUAACUCAUCACACCUGAGAUUACCUAUUUGUUGUCAACUGUGCUGGACUGUGAACUCCACAAAGAUUCCACUUCUAGCUUACUCAGUGCUAUAUCCCCGAACCUCAGAAGAGUAUCUGCUACAGCAGUACUCCUUAUCUGUGGUUUCAGUCAGCUGUGGCACAGUACAAUAACAUAUUUUGAGAGAGAAACUACAUUCAUAUAACCUUUACCACAGUAUAUUAUUAAUAACUGUUCUAUUAUUAGUUAUUGUUAAUCUCUUACUGUGCCUAAUUUAUAAGUUAAACUUUAUCAUAGGUAUGUAUGUAGAGGAAAAAACAGUAUAUAUAGGGUUCGGUACUAUCUGUGGUUUCAGGUAGCCACUGGGCAUCUUAGAACAUAUACCCCAUGGAUACAGGGAGGACUACUGUAGUCUACUUGCUGAAAAAAUUAAUUGUGGCUUAGUCAGGCAUUUCGUUGAGUACGAUGGACCUUACUUUGGAACUCAGAAAUCACUUUCUCCUGUGAAAAUAUCAAACUUGAAUGAACUUUUGGAAUAAAAUACUUUGUAAAAUGGAGAUUUUGGGUAUAGAUAUAAAUAGAUCUAAGCCUAUGGAGUUAAUAAAAAACAAAACACUCUAAAAAAUGUAAUAUAUGAAGUCAAACGAAAUCUGAGUCUUUUAGAUAGUCUAUGGACACGUACCUUAACUGAAGACCAAAACUGUCGUUGAAAAAACAAGUAAGGCCCAGAAUUUUUAUUUUCUAAGACACUAAGUAAAAAAAAGAGAAACAUAUCAUGAUCAGAUAUUUUAUAUGUAGGUGCCAUAUGAUUCCUGGACAAAAGAUUUUUCUACAAA